GGGCUCACACAAGCGGUGGAGCAUGUUGUUUAAUUCGAUGCAACGCGAAGAACCUUACCUGGGCUUGACAUUCAUGUGGUACCAAACCGAAAGGGGCGGGACCGUCUUUUGGCGGAGCAUGAACAGGUAUUGCAUGGCUGUCGUCAGCUCGUGUCGUGAGAUGUUGGGUUAAGUCCCGUAACGAGCGCAACCCUUAUCCUUAGUUGCCAGCACAUAAUGGUGGGGACUCUAGGGAGACUGCCGGUGUCAAACCGGAGGAAGGCGGGGACGACGUCAAGUCAUCAUGGUCCUUACGCCCAGGGCCACAAACGUGCUACAAUGGUCGGUACAAUGAGCAGCAAAGCCGUGAGGUGGAGCAAAUCUCAAAAAGCCGGCCCCAGUUCGGAUUGAAGGCUGCAAUUCGCCUUCAUGAAGUCGGAAUCGCUAGUAAUCGC
rnacentral:rRNA from 1 species